rnacentral:lncRNA from 1 species
UAAAACCCUAAAACCCCUAAACCCUAAAACCCUAAAACCCUAAAAGCCUAAAACCCUAAAACCCUAAAACCCUAAAACCCUAAAACCCUAAAACCCUAAAACCCUAAAACCCUAAAACCCUAAAACCCUAAAACCCUAAAACCCUAAAACCCUAAAACCCUAAAACCCUAAAACCCUAAACCCUAAACCCUAACCCUAAAACCCUAAAACCCUAAAACCCUAAACCCUAAACCCUAAACCCUAAAACCCUAAAACCCUAAAACCCUAAAACCCUAAAACCCUAAAACCCUAAAACCCUAAACCCUAAAACCCUAAAACCCUAAAACCCUAAAACCCUAACCCAAAACCCUAAAACCUGAAACCCCGCGAUACCCUGAAACCCUAAACCCCGGGACCCGCGCAACCCUAAACCAGGAACCCUCGCAACCCUAGAGUUUGAAACCCUAAACCAGGAACCCUCGCAACCCUAGAGUUUGAAACCCUAAACCAGGAACCCUCGCAACCCUAGAGUUUGAAACCCUAAACCAGGAACCCUCGCAACCCUAGAGUUUGAAACCCUAAACCAGGAACCCUCGCAACCCUAGAGUUUGAAACCCUAAACCAGGAACCCUCGCAACCCUAGAGUUUGAAACCCUAAACCAGGAACCCUCGCAACCCUAGAGUUUGAAACCCUAAACCAGGAAUCCGCGAAACCCUAAAGCUAGGAAUCUGGAUACCCCAAAACCCGAAAUCCCAAAACCCUUAAAAAUAGAUACCCCCAACCCUAACCCCCUUCCCC